rnacentral:rRNA from 1 species
UGGGGAAUUUUGGACAAUGGGGGAAACCCUGAUCCAGCAAUGCCGCGUGAGUGAAGAAGGCCUUCGGGUUGUAAAGCUCUUUUGUCAGGGAAGAAACACCGGCUCUAACACAGUCCGGGAAUGACGGUACCUGAAGAAUAAGCACCGGCUAACUACGUGCCAGCAGCCGCGGUAAUACGUAGGUGGCGAGCGUUGUCCGGAAUUAUUGGGCGUAAAGCGCGCGCAGGUGGGAUCUUAAGUCUGUUCUCAAAGUUCGGAGCUUAACUCCGUGAUGGGAUGGAAACUGGGAUUCUUGAGUACCGGAGAGGGUGGUGGAAUUCCCGGUGUAGAGGUGAAAUUCGUAGAUAUCGGGAGGAACACCAGCGGCGAAGGCGACCACCUGGACGGAUACUGACGCUGAGACGCGAAAGCGUGGGGAGCAAACAGG